rnacentral:rRNA from 1 species
AAUUAUUUACAAGGGGUGCAAGCCUGAUCCAGCCAUGCCGCGUGAGUGAAGAAGGACUUCGGGUUGUAAAUCUCUUUCGGACGGAAGGAAAUCGCGCAGGCUAAUACCCUGCGUGGUUGAUGGUAGGUUCCUAAGAAGCACCGUCUAACUACGUGCCAGCAGCCGCCGUAAUAAGUAGGGUGUGGGCGAUAAUCGGAAGUAAUGGGUGUAAAGCAUGCGGAGGCGGUUGAUUAAGAAAGGCGUGAAAUCCCCGGGCUGAACCUGGGAACUGCGGUUGUGGCUAGUCAGCUAGAGUACGGCAGAGGGGGGUGGAAGUCCACGUGUAGCAGUGAAAUGCGUAGAGAUGUGGAGGAACACCGAUGGCGAAGGCAGCCCCCUGGGACGAUACUGACGCUCAUGCACGAAAGCGUGGGUAGCAAACAGG